UUUUGCAUAUCAAAAAGCGGAGGAAAAGAAACCAACAGGGAUUGCCUUAGUAACGGCGAGUGAAGCGGCAAAAGCUCAAAUUUGAAAUCUGGCACCUUCGGUGUCCGAGUUGUAAUUUGAAGAAGGUAACUUUGGAGUUGGCUCUUGUCUAUGUUCCUUGGAACAGGACGUCACAGAGGGUGAGAAUCCCGUGCGAUGAGAUGCCCAAUUCUAUGUAAAGUGCUUUCGAAGAGUCGAGUUGUUUGGGAAUGCAGCUCUAAGUGGGUGGUAAAUUCCAUCUAAAGCUAAAUAUUGGCGAGAGACCGAUAGCGAACAAGUACAGUGAUGGAAAGAUGAAAAGAACUUUGAAAAGAGAGUGAAAAAGUACGUGAAAUUGUUGAAAGGGAAGGGCUUGAGAUCAGACUUGGUAUUUUGCGAUCCUUUCCUUCUUGGUUGGGUUCCUCGCAGCUUACUGGGCCAGCAUCGGUUUGGAUGGUAGGAUAAUGACUAAGGAAUGUGGCUCGACUUCGGUGGAGUGUUAUAGCCUUGGUUGAUACUGCCUGUCUAGACCGAGGACUGCGUCUUUGACUAGGAUGCUGGCAUAAUGAUCUUAAGCCACGCGUCUUGAAACACGGACCAAAA
rnacentral:rRNA from 1 species